rnacentral:rRNA from 1 species
UGGGGAAUAUUGGACAAUGGAGGCAACUCUGAUCCAGCAAUUCUGUGUGUGUGAAGAAGGUUUUAGGACUGUAAAACACUUUUAGUAGGGAAGAAAGAAAUGACGGUACCUACAGAAGAAGCGACGGCUAAAUACGUGCCAGCAGCCGCGGUAAUACGUAUGUCGCGAGCGUUAUCCGGAAUUAUUGGGCUUAAAGGGCAUCUAGGCGGUUAAACAAGUUGAAGGUGAAAACCUGUGGCUCAACCAUAGGCUUGCCUACAAAACUGUAUAACUAGAGUACUGGAAAGGUAGGUGGAACUACACGAGUAGAGGUGAAAUUCGUAGAUAUGUGUAGGAAUGCCGAUGAUGAAGAUAACUCACUGGACAGCAACUGACGCUGAAGUGCGAAAGCUAGGGGAGCAAACAGG